rnacentral:tRNA from 3 species
GGCCCGGUGGUUCAGUUGGUUAGAAUGCCGCCCUGUCACGGCGGAGGUCACGAGUUCGAGUCUCGUCCGGGUCGCCA